rfam:Nematocida sp. 1 ERTm2 unplaced genomic scaffold supercont1.1, whole genome shotgun sequence.
UCCGCUUUGGUCCAGUGGCUAGGAUUUCGCCCUCUCACGGCGACGGCCGGGGUUCGAUUCCCUGAAGCGGAA